rnacentral:rRNA from 1 species
GACGAACGCUGGCGGCGUGCCUAAUACAUGCAAGUAGAACGCUGAAGGAGGAGCUUGCUUCUCUGGAUGAGUUGCGAACGGGUGAGUAACGCGUAGGUAACCUGCCUGGUAGCGGGGGUAACUAUUGGAAACGAUAGCUAAUACCGCAUAAUAGCAGUUGUUGCAUGACAACUGUUUGAAAGGUGCAAUUGCACCACUACCAGAUGGACCUGCGUUGUAUUAGCUAGUUGGUGGGGUAACGGCUCACCAAGGCGACGAUACAUAGCCGACCUGAGAGGGUGAUCGGCCACACUGGGACUGAGACACGGCCCAGACUCCUACGGGAGGCAGCAGUAGGGAAUCUUCGGCAAUGGACGGAAGUCUGACCGAGCAACGCCGCGUGAGUGAAGAAGGUUUUCGGAUCGUAAAGCUCUGUUGUAAGAGAAGAACGAGUGUGAGAGUGGAAAGUUCACACUGUGACGGUAUCUUACCAGAAAGGGACGGCUAACUACGUG